UCGAGGAUCUUCGGCAAUGGGCGCAAGCCUGACCGAGCGACGCCGCGUGUGCGAUGAAGGCCUUCGGGUUGUAAAGCACUGUCGAGGGGGAGGAAGCCGCAAGGUUGACCUAUCCCUGGAGGAAGCACGGGCUAAGUUCGUGCCAGCAGCCGCGGUAAGACGAACCGUGCGAACGUUGUUCGGAAUCACUGGGCUUAAAGGGCGCGUAGGCGGGUGAUCAAGUCUGGGGUGAAAUCUUUCGGCUUAACCGGAAAACAGCCUCGGAUACUGGUCGUCUCGAGUGAGGUAGGGGCAGCUGGAACUUCCGGUGGAGCGGUGAAAUGCGUUGAUAUCGGAAGGAACGCCGGUGGCGAAAGCGAGCUGCUGGACCUCUUCUGACGCUGAGGCGCGAAAGCCAGGGGAGCAAACGGGAUUAGAUACCCCCGUAGUCC
rnacentral:rRNA from 1 species